rnacentral:lncRNA from 1 species
ACGUUAUAUAGUACAAUUUUAAUUGAAACAUUUUUCUAUUGUACAUGUAUACAUAUGUAAAUUUUUUUUAAGUUAUACAUUUGGUUUUAAAUAUGUUUUAUUUGGACACUUCUAAUUUUCUAUAUGUGGGUGGCUGUUUUUUGGCUUCAGUAUGUGCCCUCUGUAUGUGUAGAAACCGUGAGUUGUUUCCUCAUAUAAGUGAAAACAAGUCUAUUGGUAAUUAAAUUUAACAUUAUUAGAAAAAUUAGUAUACAACACAUAAUCAGUAUAAUCAGUACGAUUUUUUUUUGUUAAUAUUUACAUUUACAUUUGCGUAUAUGUACAAACUUAUAUACAUAUAUAUAUAUAUAUACAUACAUAUAUAUUUAUAUAUAUACAAACUUAUAUACAUAUAUAUAUACAUACAUAUAUAUUUAUAUAUAUACAUACAUAUAUAUUUAUAUAUAUACAUACAUAUAUAUUUAUAUAUAUAUACAUAUAUAUUUAUAUAUAUGUAUAUAUUUUGUUUUUUUUAGGUCAUUUAUAUCGUCUCCUAAACAUCCAUAAAUAUGAAUCUUUCAAUAUAAUUGUUCAACUUCAUUUUUUAAAUUUGAAGUUUAGCGACGACAGUGCGAGUAAAUAUAUGGUUCAUAUAAAAGUUGGAAACAGAUACUCUUAUACCCAAUAUUGCAAACAGUAUAUGAAUAAAGUACACAUAGAGGAAAGAAAGAAUUUAUCAAUUAAGCAAAAUAAUACCACGUUGACAUUAGAGCUUUACAAAAAAGGGACAUUAAAAAAUACUUUUGUCGGCUCUGCAGAAAUUCAUAUAUAUAAUGAUAUUAUUCAAAAAUUAUUUCCAAAUAAUGUUUAUUUUAAUAUAUUAAAUAAAAAUCAAAUUGUUGCGACAAUAUGUAUGUCUUUUUAUUAUAUUAAUUUAGAUUGUAUAAAAAAGGAAGACCAAAUAUAUACUUCUCUUUUUAUUGAAACUAUAAUAUCUGUUCAAAAUAAUGAAUUAAAAAAUAACGAAAAAAUAGAACAGCUUAUAAAUGAAGGCAUGGAACCUUUCCAGGCUAUUAAACAAAUGGACAUUAGUUCAAUUAUAUAUAAAAACAUAUCGAGUCUAGCCAUUGAAGACAAAAUUCGCCUUUUCAGGGAAGUUUUAUUGGUGUUACUAUGAUGAACAAGAUGAUGCAAAGGUUGAUAACAACAGAAUAGGGUACAUAAGACUUGAAUAUGUAAUAAACGUAUACAGCGAUGUACA